rnacentral:lncRNA from 1 species
GGGUCAAGCGGGUGCACGCCGCUCUCCCUAUCACUCCAGCCCCCUCUCCUGGUCUCCCUGAGCUCGGGGUUUGAAGGUCACCUCCUUUCCAGUCCCCCUGCGAGCUGUGCCGCCUCCUCCAGCCUGAGCCGUUGGCGCUGGCUGCGCUGCCUUGAAGUGGUUGUCGCUUCGGACAGAGCCGGGGUCCGCGCAGGGUGGGGAAACCCGAACUCACGGAGGGGAAUCCCUCCCCUUGCGCCCCAGCUUCGGCGGCACCCACGUAGGGGCGAGCGCUCAGCCAGCCCCGGGAACGCCAGAGGCGGCGGCGGCAACCUUGAGACCCACGAGUGCGCCUCGGGGGCCAGAGAAAGCGAGCAGCACACCCCGUGUCUGGAGGGGACAGUCGUGCGCCCCGCCCCGGCGUCCGGAGGGAGAGAACUCCGAGCCUCCUACGGAGGCAGCCCGAGGAGCAGCGAAACGCGCGCCCCGGGACCCAGAAACCUUGCGCUCCAGAAGCCCUCGCAGCAGCCAGCAGGGCCUGGGGCUGUUCGGACCCUCGUCGAACCCAAGCAGGGGCGCCAGAGAGGGGCUGACCUGCCCGCGAAGUUGGGGGACAGUGUGGGAGCAGCCAGCACCUCACUUCGCCGCCUACAGCUCAUGGUGAGCGUGGUUGGGGGUGUCGAGAGCGCAAGGGAGAUCCGGGGUCUGGGUCAGCGGAGAAGGCGACCGCAGGCGGACUCGCCGCGAGUUCCAGAGGCAAAGGACCUGGGACCGAUGAUGAAGGUUAAAGGUGCUGGCAGUGGCUGCUGGCGAACAAUGGGGGCGGAUGCCUUUAACCACAUCCUGGAGGCCCUGGGUCCAGAAGAUCCCUUGGGUUUCCUCUAAGUGGCCGUAGGGUUGAGUUGGGUUAGAAAGAAAAGGGUACCCUUCCUCACAAUCGUGGAGGGAACCUUCACAGUCCAGAGCACAAGACCUUGGUGCCUGAGAAAAGCACCAGGCCCUUGGUUCUGUUACCUGCCUGCUGGGUCACCUUGGGCAAGUUGUUUAACC